AAAUAAAAAUUUAUCCUACAACUCAAAUUCCACUCUUAUCUUCACAAUAUUGUGUGUACAAAAGGAGAAUAAGUUUACUUCACUUAUCACAAUCAACAACGUGCUUUACCUAGUUUUGCUAUGAUCAAUUUCAAUUUUCCAAAAACCUGUUUAAUUUCCUACCAACUGCUGUAACAUAAGCAAAGAUAUGACAAAUAUUUCAAAAACUGACUCAGAAUAGGUGGAAGCAUUCUUAGCGAGGCAAGGCAAGGAAGGAAGAAGGGUUUUACUGGGGUAACGUGAGUGAACCACCCUCUCUGGUUUCGUGAAAUGGCGUCGUCGCUGAAUUCUGACAACACCAACGCCAACGCCACCAAGAAAACAACCAACAGCAACGCCGUGUUCAUCGACACCAACCUCGAUACGCACUUGGCAGUCCCCGUUUAUGAGCACGACACCGUCUCCGACCUCAAAAAGAGAAUCGAGUCCGAACACCCUUCAUGCUUUCCCAAAUUUGGCCACAUUCAUAUUCAUGGGAUUAAGGUUCACCGCACCGGCUACAUUUAUGACCUUUCAGAUUCCAUGUCUGUCACAAAUGCCUUUAAUGGUUUCAAUGACGGCUGGUUCCUUACUGUUGAGGCUUCUUCAUUGGGGGAGGAGGCUACACAAAGUGACCAAUUGAUUACUCAUGCUUCUCCUAAGUCCUAACCAGGUGCUACCGUGUCAUGCCGAUAAUUGUAGCGUAUGGUGGGGAUAGGAUGGAAAAUGGUGGAGGAAGUUCCAGACAGCCUUGGUGACACUUAAUCACAGGUUUCCGAGCAAAACAAUGUUUGUUGUUUAAACGUGUUUGCUGAUAAUGUUGUGAUUCACUAUAUUGCAAGGAGUCAAGUUAAUCAUAACAAUUCAGUAGAGGUAUGAUCAGUUGCAUUGAUCGAAGUUGUCUAGAACUGAAGCAUACCUUAUGUUAUGUCUUAAAAAAAAUUCCUAGGUGAGGUCAUACGCAGCAUGUUGUGGCUGUUUAGUCUAAAGCAUUUUAUUUUACAUUUGCCAUUACAAGAAUUUAGAUUAUGGUGAACUGUGUUGUCUUGGAAGCAUUUAAGCAUCCACGUUUUGAAUGAUAUGAUAAUAUAAAAGUAGUUGUUGGAAUUGAACUUAAAAA